rnacentral:rRNA from 1 species
CGAACGUGGGUAACCGUACGCCCAAGAGAUCGGGAUAACACCUGGAAACAGAUGCUAAUACCGGAUAAUAACAGAUGGUGCCUAUCAACUGUUUAAAAGAUGGUUCUGCUAUCACUCUUGGAUGGACCUGCGGUGCAUUAGCUAGUUGGUAGGGUAACGGCCUACCAAGGCGAUGAUGCAUAGCCGAGUUGAGAGACUGAUCGGCCACAUUGGGACUGAGACACGGCCCAAACUCCUACGGGACAGCAGGG